rnacentral:rRNA from 1 species
AACGCGAAGAACCUUACCUGGGCUUGAACUACUCGUGGUAGUUCGCUUGAAAGAGUGGACGACCCGCAAGGGAGCGAGCAGAGGUGCUGCAUGGUUGUCGUCAGCUCGUGUCGUGAGAUGUUGGGUUAAGUCCCGCAACGAGCGCAACCCUUGUUUGCUGUUGCCAUCAGGUUAUGCUGGGCACUCUGCAAAGACCGCCGGUGAUAAACCGGAGGAAGGUGGGGAUGACGUCAAGUCAGCAUGGCCUUUAUGUCUGGGGCUACACACGUGCUACAAUGGCCGGUACAAACCGUCGCGAGCCCGCGAGGGGGAGCUAAUCGGAAAAAGCCGGUCUCAGUUCGGAUAGCAGGCUGCAACUCGCCUGCUUGAAGUUGGAAUCGCUAGUAAUCGCGGAUCAGCACGCCGCGGUGAAUACGUUCCCGGGCCUUGUACACACCGCGCAUA